UUUUGACGGUUCGUGGUUAAGUUCAGGCGCUUCCCACCCAAAUUUGACUUGGCCACAGGUAUGAAAAUUUCUCCCUCACUGAGAUCUACUUGACUGUAAAAUUUAGAAAUUUUUGGAAAUAGUUGAAUUUUCCGGAGAGUCGAGGCAGUCGACCACCAUCCGCGGCAGCCCGUGUGGCGAUGUGUGGCCAGUCGGCCGGUGCUGCCUUAUCAUGCAAAUUUUGAUAUUUUAAAUCCAUAAUUCGCACCCAUUUGAAGUGAUUCGAUUAUAAAAGCUAAUGUUGAAUAUUUCCGUUAUUAGAAUAUUUCGGAAAUUGAUAAAAGAAUGUAUGUGAACUACGAAAGGCUUAAUCCCGCUCAAGGGUACGUAGGCAAUCUAAUAGGGUUAGAUGCAGCCUUAAAUAAUUGUUAAUCUGUGGUUGAGAAUUUGAAUUAAGAAAAGAAAUUUGGUGAUUAAUUGUAAAAUUAAAUCUUACGUUUUAAUAAUUAAAUUUUGGUUAUAGAUUUUGUAAGUGAUUAAUAAAUUUAAAUAAAGAAUUGUGAUUAAUGGAAGUUAAAUAAACAAGAGUCUAAAUUGGCCUAUCACGAAAAUUAUAUUCCGAAACAAAUGUUUCAAGGUAGGUCGUUACAAAAUAUAUAGUAUAACAUCGACUCAUCAGAUUCCACACAAUUUUUUUUUUAUGAAGAAGAUUUAUUUUAACUUGAAAACCU
rnacentral:lncRNA from 1 species